GGGAAGAUAAGCGUAGACGGGUAAACAUGGAUGACUAUUUGUGGACAAGUAAAAUUAUGAUUAAAAUUCAAAAUCCAGCAUACUAUAUAUCUCAUGGUGGAGGACUGUAACGAGCUCGAACCACCACAGCUUCACCGAGCUCAUCCACGACGAUGUUGAGCUCAGAAUCCAUGGUGUGGCUCAUCGGGAAGAGGAGCUGACUGUUUUGACCGGGGGUUUUGGAGGAGGAGAUGACUCGUUUUAACUUUUUGGUUUGUUUAGCUUUGUUUUCAUCAUUCAAGCUUGUUUUUUUUUCCUCGACAUUUACGUUGUAGUCAUUGGUUUGAAGUUAUUAAUUUGUUCAUCCUUGAAAUGGUGGACACAUUGGCAUCUAUGUCACAGUCUAUCAAUAUGUUAUAUUUUUAUAUCUAUGUUUAGUGUUUGAGUUACUACUCUAUCCACCACAUCAAGCUUCAAUUCCCUAUACACAAAUUUAAGAGAUCUCUCUUGUUAUUUAUUCAUGGUUAUGUUAGCGUCUAUAUCCAAAACAUAAUCAAAAUCUUCUCAUCCCCAUUCACAGACAGACAUUGUUGUUGGAGUUGUGUCUUUAAAUUCAACUAUUGUGGAGCUUGAUCUGAAGAAGCUUCUGGAAUUUUUACACUCAUCUUCAUCCACGCAUCACCCGUCCACGUAUCAUCCGUCCACGCAUCAAAUAUCUAAUAAGAGCAAAGUUGUCCACAGUUUAAUGCUGGCCCACAACAAAGUGUCUCACAUGUAGGAAGUGGCUCUGAGUGUAAAGAAAAGUCAAAAAGUGACUUAAAGAGUAAUCAGCUCAAAAUUAAAAGCUUAAAUCCCAUCCCAUUACAAAACUCGAAAAUAAAAGCCCAACGUAAUUUUAGCCCACAUUAAACUAGUUCAGGUAUCUCUUAGCACGCAAAGUCCAUGCGUCCUCCAUGCAACACUUCCAGGACAAGCGUCAUCUCUCUCAUUCAACUCGAGUUUCUGGAGACGCGACUGCACGCGCCGCCGCAGGGGAUGGAAAACUCGAAUCACCGGCGUAACUUCUUCCAUGAUCGUACAACUUCGAGCUUUAGACCCUCAAUCUUGCACUCUCAUUGUUUGCCUUCCACUUCAACCGCUGAAACUCGAACAGAAAACCUUCAACCACCGGAGUUAAACCUGAAGAAUCAUAAGUCGAGAUGAAGUAAGAUCCUUUACAGGACCAUUACAAAACGCAUGUUCUUCUGAAUCCACUUCAAAUAACGACUCGGAGAAUCCAUCUAACCCAACCUUCUUCCAUCAGAGAUGCUUCACAACGCCAUAAAUGGCUAAACACAUAGAGAAAUCUGAUUCUCCUAGAAAUCAGUUGAAUUGAACGGUGGAAAAAGGAAACUGUAUCGGAAUCAAGACGGGAUUAAAAUGAAACUCCAAGUGAAAAGCAGAUUUAUUUGGUUCAAUCCAAAAGCAAUAAAAAGAAGUAACCUUGAAGAACAAAUCUGAUUAUGGAUUGAAACACAAAACAAAAAGAUGACCAAAGCGAAAUAAACACAACAAAAUAAACUCGCCUAACGAAAACUGAUUCGCCUAGGGAAAGUUUAGAUUCGAUCUAAGAUCGAAAAUAUACACAUCUGAAAGACAAAAUAUCAUGUAUUAGAUGCUUAGACCAUGUUUAUCCCAGGUUCCUAACUGGGUUUUUAACAAAAAUAGAAGAUUUAAUUAAAUCAAAAAUAAUUAUAAAGUUCAUUACCGAUCCUUAAGUGAGGAUUCUGGGAACCGAUUUUAAUGGGGUUUCACAACCACGUGUCAGCAAAGGAAAGGCACCAGAUUUUUUUUUCUCUUUUUUUUUUGUUUUCUCAUCUUCUCUGUCAUUCCGAAAUCCACCACCUCUUCUCUCGGCUUCUCCGUCAGAGACGAUCGAUUAAUCUGUCGGUCAUCACGGCGUGUCCUCCGUGUUCUCCGUCAAACGAGCACUCGAAACCCACCGAGAGGACAGCAUGAUUUGGAUGCUGAUUACAGUCAUAAGAGGGCAGCAUGAUUUGGACGCUGAUUACCGUCAUAAGAGGACAGCUCUCCCACCAAAAUCUCUCUUCAAUUCUUCUAUUUUAGAUGCUGUGAAGAGGCAGAUGACUAAGAACGAUGAAAAGCAUCAAAAGGUACAAACUUUUUUAAAACCCAACAAGAUUCGAUUCUUUACUCUUUAUUAUCAUAGAUGAUGACAUGGUAUUGGUCGGUAAGAUUUCAACCUGACGUUACCAUAUCAUGGAGAGAUUAUUUCAUUAGAGGUAAACUAACUUAAACUAUGUCCUGCACUUCCUUUGGCCAUUACUUCCUGUGUGAUUUAAUAUAUAUGGUAGUGAGAACUUUCUGCAACUUUUACAAUGCAAGGUAUCAAAUGUGAUGACAGUUUUUGCUCACUCUUGAUUCAACUUUAGAAAUACAGAGUUUGACCUGUUUUAAAUAUGAGUCAGGUUCGAGUUUUUUUAUUUAAGUUUGAAGGUUUGUAAUUUUCGUUUUGGUAGAUUUUAGUGAUAUGGGUCUAUUAUCAGUCUCAUGUGGGUUAUUUUCUUUUGAAUAUAAACCAUUUUGCAUCAGUUACUUACGGAUGUUGGUUCUGCUCUUUAUGGUAAUACAGGAAGGAGAGCUACUUGUGCUGCUUACAGAUGGUAGAAAGCUAAUGGGAACACUCUGUUCUUUUUGAUCAAUUGAGAAGAAGAGGAAGCCUGUCUGUAAGGUAUUCUCAACACACUCCAUUCUCUUUAUCUUUAUGAUGCAUUGUAUUCAAAUUCCAAGUCUUGUGAUGUGGGUUAGAGUUAAAGCGGGUUUAGGAAUUUUCAGCCAUUUCUGAUAUAGAUUAUUUCAUUUUUGGAUGAUGCAUUGUAUUUCAUUUGCAUUGUAUUAAUAAUUUUUUUUUCUAAGAAUCCUUA